rnacentral:rRNA from 1 species
CCCUUAGAUGUUCUGGGCCGCACGCGCGCUACACUGACGAAUGCAACGAGCUUAUAACCUUGGCCGAAAGGUCUGGGUAAUCUCCAAAUUUCGUCGUGAUGGGGAUAGAUUAUUGCAAUUAUUAAUCUUCAACGAGGAAUGCCUAGUAAGCGCAAGUCAUCAGCUUGCGUUGAUUACGUCCCUGCCCUUUGUACACACCGCCCGUCGCUCCUACCGAUUGAAUGGUCCGGUGAAGCGCUCGGACCGCGGCCUCUUGACGGGUCUCCGUCGAUUGGCUGUGGGAAGUUCGUUAAACCUUAUCAUUUAGAGGAAGGUGAAGUCGUAACA